rnacentral:rRNA from 1 species
GUGGGGAAUCUUGCGCAAUGGGCGAAAGCCUGACGCAGCAACGCCGCGUGCGGGAUGAAGGCCUUCGGGUUGUAAACCGCUUUCAGUGGGGACGAAAACAGACGGUACCCACAGAAGAAGCCCCGGCCAACUACGUGCCAGCAGCCGCGGUAACACGUAGGGGGCGAGCGUUGUCCGGAAUCAUUGGGCGUAAAGAGCUCGUAGGCGGCUCAAUAAGUCGGGUGUGAAACCCCCAGGCUCAACCUGGGGACGCCACCCGAUACUGUUGUGGCUAGAGUCCAGUAGGGGAGUGUGGAAUUCCCGGUGUAGCGGUGAAAUGCGCAGAUAUCGGGAGGAACACCAGCGGCGAAGGCGGCACUCUGGGCUGGUACUGACGCUGAGGAGCGAAAGCGUGGGUAGCAAACAGGAUUAGAUACCCGAGUAGUCC